rnacentral:rRNA from 1 species
UACGGGGGGGGCAAGCGUUGUUCGGAAUUACUGGGCGUAAAGGGCUCGUAGGUGGCCAACUAAGUCAGACGUGAAAUCCCUCGGCUUAACCGGGGAACUGCGUCUGAUACUGGAUGGCUUGAGUUUGGGAGAGGGACGCGGAAUUCCAGGUGUAGCGGUGAAAUGCGUAGAUAUCAGGAGGAACACCGGUGGCGAAGGCGGCUAUCUGGACAGAGUCUGACGCUGAGGUGCGAAAGCGUGGGGAGCAAACAGG